rnacentral:rRNA from 1 species
GGUAGGUACGAGCCGGGAGUGGGGGUCAUACGUAUGGGGCUGGCUGGAAUCGGAAUUACGGGGCGUAAAGCGUGCGCAGGCGGUUUUGUAAGACAGGCGUGAAAUCCCCUGGCUUAACCUGGGAAUUGCGCUUGUGACUGCAAGGCGAGAGUGCGUCAGAGGGGGGUAGAAUUCCACGUGUAGCAGGGAAAUGCGUAGAGAUGUGGAGGAAUACCGAUGGCGAAGGCAGCCCCCUGGGACGUGACUGACGCUCAUGCACGAAAGCGUGGGGAGCAAACAGGAUUAGAUACCCUAGUAGUC